GCCUGUAGUCCCAGCUACUUGGGAGGCUGAGACAGGAGGAUCGCUUGAGUCCAGGAGUUCUGGGCUGUAGUGCGCUAUGCCGAUCGGGUGUCCACACUAAGUUCGGCAUCAAUAUGGUGACCUCCCGGGAGCGGGGGACCACCAGGUUGCCUAAGGAGGGGUGAACUGGCCCAGGUCGGAAACAGAGCAGGUCAAAACUCCUGUGCUGAUCACAAUAACAGUAUUAAAGUAACUUAUCCACUGACUGGAGCCAUAGUUCAGUGCUUCUCACCU
rnacentral:SRP_RNA from 1 species